AGGGUUUGAUUCUGGCUCAGGAUGAACGCUGGCGGCGUGCUUAACACAUGCAAGUCGAGCGAAGCGGCUGAAUUGAUUCUUCGGAUGAUUUUCAGUUGACUGAGCGGCGGACGGGUGAGUAACGCGUGGGUGACCUGCCCCAUACCGGGGGAUAACAGCUGGAAACGGCUGCUAAUACCGCAUAAGCGCACAGAGCUGCAUGGCUCGGUGUGAAAAACUCCGGUGGUAUGGGAUGGGCCCGCGUCUGAUUAGGCAGUUGGCAGGGUAACGGCCUACCAAAGCGACGAUCCAUAGCCGGCCUGAGAGGGUGAACGGCCACAUUGGGACUGAGACACGGCCCAG
rnacentral:rRNA from 1 species